rnacentral:lncRNA from 1 species
AGAAAACUAAAAAUGAAAAACAUUGAAUAAGAAAAUUAAAAAAAAUAGAAACCGUGAACCACAUGUUUGAAACCAAAUGAACGUGAGCUUUCUUCCAACCAAGUCAAAAGAAAUGCUAAUUAAAAAAAAAAAAACAUCAACGUAACAUCACUUACCACAUCUCACCUAACAAUAUCUAUUCAACUCUUCAUUUUUCAAUAAAAGAAAAGAAAAAAAAAAAAACUACACCUACAACUACCCAACG